rnacentral:piRNA from 1 species
UAUCUAGAUUCAGGAUACACUGACCAGAU